UAUAUAUAACUGGCAACCUUCUUAUGCAUGUUCGUCGCGGUCUCAUUGUUGUCCAGUGAUCAGUUCAGACUGCGAAGGGAUGCGAAACAAGCUGUUCAACGUGUUAACUGCAUGCCGUCGUCAAUAUUCGACUGCAGCAGGGCAUGAUCCGCAGACGGGCAAUACAACACAGCAACAGUUGCAGCAACAGGGAAACGGAAGAUCAUGGCCGGAAGGAGGAGCAGAAAUGGGGGGGUCAAGAAUCGGCAACGGGUGGGAAGGGAGGCCGCAGCUCCAACAACAACAGCAACAACAGCAACAAGGCACGGGGAGUGGUAUGGGGGAUGACGAAGACGGGGGUGGAGGGGGCGGAGGGGUGGAGGGGGCGGACGCAGCGGAGAACAACGCUGUUCACCUCAAGAGACGGGUGGGACUCGUCAGUGGGGUGGCUCUAAUCGUCGGCACUAUGAUUGGUUCGGGGAUUUUCGUUUCGCCGUCGGGUCUCCUGGUGAGGACCGGUAGCAUCGGCGUGAGCUUCCUGGUGUGGACAGCAUGCGGUAUUCUAAGUCUCUGUGGGGCUUUAGCUUACGCCGAGCUGGGGACGAUGAAUACCAGCUCGGGGGCGGAGUACGCGUACUUCAUGGACGCCUUCGGGGCGCCCCCGGCUUUCCUCUUCUCAUGGGUAUCGACCCUUGUUCUAAAACCCUCUCAGAUGGCAAUUAUUUGUUUAUCAUUCGCCCAGUACGCGGUGGAGGCUUUUGUCGCCGAGUGUAAUCCCCCGGAGGAAGUCGUCAAGCUAGUUGCUCUCUUGGCCAUCGUUGUCAUUCUCCUCGUUAAUUGCUACAGCGUUAAUCUUGCCACCGGUGUUCAAAACGCCUUUACGGCUGCUAAACUGAUCGCCAUUCUUGUAGUCAUCGCUGGCGGAUCGUACAAGCUGAUACAGGGCAAUACUCAGCACCUUAGAGGGGCUUUCGAUACUGCCGAAACAACAGUCAACUUUGGAAGGCUUGCGACUGCAUUCUAUACUGGACUCUGGGCGUACGAUGGUUGGAACAAUCUCAAUUAUGUCACGGAGGAGAUUAAGGACCCUUCGAGGAAUUUGCCACGAUCGAUCAUGAUCGGCAUUCCUUUAGUCACACUCUGUUACGCCCUCAUCAACAUCUCUUACUUAGCAGUCAUGUCACCGUCUGAAAUGAUUGAGAGCGAAGCCGUUGCUGUGACGUUUGGUAAUCGAAUUUUGGGCGUCAUGGCGUGGCUAAUGCCGUUAUCUGUCGCCGUAAGUACUUUCGGGUCAGCCAAUGGGACUUUAUUUGCUGCAGGACGACUUUGCUUUGCCGCAUCUAGAGAAGGUCAUCUACUUGAUUGCCUGAGCUAUGUUCAUGUCCGACGUUUUACUCCGGCUCCAGGUCUUAUUUUUCACUCUCUUGUUGCAGGUGCGAUGGUUUUGUCUGGCAGUAUAGACUCCCUGAUUGACUUUUUCUCCUUUACUGCCUGGAUAUUCUACGGCGGGUCAAUGGUAGCAUUACUGGUCAUGCGGAAAACCAGGCCUGAUCAUCCACGUCCAUACAAAUGCCCCUUGCCGAUACCAAUACUGGUACUCGGUAUCUCUGCGUACCUGAUAGUCGCCCCAAUCAUUGAUAAACCGCAAAUUGAAUAUUUGUACGCCGCUACUUUUAUAGCCGCUGGAAUGCUAUUUUACCUACCAUUUGUCAAGUAUGGUUACGUUCCGAAAUUUAUGGAAGGUGUAAAUGCUUUUCUACAAAUGUUGCUCGAGGUAGCACCAACUGCAGCUGCCUUUGAUUGAUACGCAGUUAAAUGAACCAGUUUUCUAGGUACCGAAUCAUUCCGUUGUGGAACUGAAAACUGGUUUCAUAAAAUACAAAUAUGUGUAUGUAUACAUAUAUAUAUACAUAUACAUAUAUACCUAUAUAUAUACAGCUAUUUAAAAUUUUUUUUUUUUUAUAAUAUUAAAAUAUAUCGAAACCUCAGUGUAAUGAAAUAACAUCUGCAGAGACAGAAGCUAUUCUACGUAUGCAAAAAUAGAACUUUGACAAUGCUUUAUAAGUAUAAAAUCGAACAUUUUGUUGCAUAAAAAAAAGUGGGGUUUACUUUCUUACUAAAAUUGCUAAUGAUUUACAAUUUCCUAUUACGUUUUUUCCCUUUUUUAAACAAUGUGAAUCUGAUUCACAGUUGUGACUGUUUGCAAAAAAUUCAUAGAAUACACAUAUUGCAUAAAAUUAGACGUUCUAUCGACAUAUAAAUUAGUCAAUCAAUUAUUAUUAUAAAUAUUAUACAUAAAUAGAUAAAAUGGUAGAACUGUUAUCCUUAAUAAACAGUAACUCUCUAAAUAAAAUUCUCUCGUUGUUAGUCAGAAUCUUGGACACGUUUAACGUGAUAGUAAACUUAAAAUAACUUGCAUUUCUAGUAAAAUGGCAUCUCAUUUACACCUAUUGUUUUAUUACCCUAUUUUGAUAUAUACUAGCAAAAAGCUUACACCGAUACAGAUAAGUGCUUAAUUGUAGAAGAUGACUGGAAUUUUGCUGAAACUUUAUUAGUAAUUAGUUGUGUGU